rnacentral:rRNA from 1 species
GUUUGAUCCUGGCUCAGAACGAACGCUGGCGGCGUGCUUAACACAUGCAAGUCGAACGAGAAAGGCUCCUUCGGGAGCUGAGUAAAGUGGCGCACGGGUGAGUAACGCGUGGGUAAUCUGCCUUCGGGUUCGGGAUAACACUCCGAAAGGAAUGCUAAUACCGGGUAAGACCACGCCCCUCUUGGGGGGUGAGGUAACAGGUGGCCUCUCCAUGGAAGCUAUCGCCUGAAGAUGAGCCCGCGGCCCAUCAGCUAGUUGGUGAGGUAAUGGCCCACCAAGGCUAUGACGGGUAGCUGGUCUAAGAGGAUGGACAGCCACACUGGAACUGAGACACGGUCCAGACUCCUACGGGAGGCAGCAGUGGGGAAUAUUGCGCAAUGGGCGAAAGCCUGACGCAGCGACGCCGCGUGAGUGAUGAAGCCUUCGGGUCGUAAAGCUCUGUUGGGUGGGAAAGAAAGAACUCGGAGAAUAACACCUUCGUUUUCUGACGGUACUCGCCCAGAAAGCACCGGCUAACUCCGUGCCAGCAGUCGCGGUAAUACGGAGGGUGCUAGCGUUGUUCGGAAUUAUUGGGCGUAAAGCGCGUGUAGGUGGGAAGGCGUGUCGGGUGUGAAAGCCCUGGGCUCAACCCAGGAAUAGCGCUCGAAACUGCCUUUCUUGAGUACGGGAGAGGGAAGCGGAAUUUCCAGUGUAGAGGUGAAAUUCGUAGAUAUUGGAAGGAACACCGGUGGUGAAGGCGGCUUCCUGCACCGAUACUGACGCUGAGACGCGAAAGCGUGGGGAGUAAAUAGGAUUAGAUAUCCUGGUAGUCCACGCUGUAAACGAUGAGCACUAGGUGUUGCGGGUAAUUGAUUCCUGCAGUGCCGCAGCUAACGCAUUAAGUGCUCCGCCUGGGGAUUACGGUCGUAAGACUAAAACUCAAAGGAAUUGAUGGGGGCCCGCAUAAGCGGUGGAGUAUGUGGUUCAAUUCGACGCAACGCGAAGAAUUUUACCCAGACUUGAUAUUCCAGGAAUUUCCAUGAAAGUGGAAAGUGCAUCUUCGGAUGAGCCUGGAGACAGGUGCUGCAAGGCUGUCGUCAGCUCGUGUCGUGAGAUGUUGGGUUAAGUCCCGCAACGAGCGUAACCCUCGCCCUUAGUUGCCAUCAUUAAGUUGGGCACUCUAGGGGGACUGCCGGUGUUAAACCGGAGGAAGGCGAGGAUGACGUCAAGUCCUCAUGGCCUUUAUGUCUGGGGCUACACACGUACUACAAUGGUCGGUACAAAGGGCUGCAAACCCGCGAGGGGGAGCUAAUCCCAAAAAGCCGG